AUUUGGGGGGCCAAAAUUCAAUCCAUAACACCCCUCCCUACAGAACCUUUCCCCAGCCAUGUUCCUCACCCCCAAAAAUCCCCCCAGUCCUGGCUAGGCUGGGGCCUUCAGCCCCAGCAAAGCAGACUUUCUCCUCCCCGAUUCUGUGCCCUUGGAGCCAGCCGGGGGCUUGUUUUGUAACUCUGCUUCCUGGAAGGCAUCUCAGCUCUUCACCUCUCCCCAGUCUAAUCUUGCCAAGGGGUGCAAGUGGAGUUUGGCUUGGAGCAGGCCUAGGGGGCAGGGAGAAACACAAGGAGGAGGGAACCAGAAAGAGAAAAUGAGGAGGGGGAGGAGAAGGGUGAUGCUCACUCACUCAUUCACUCGUUUACCAAAUAUGUGCUGAGCUCCCACGUGAACAGUGCAGAAUUAGGUACACCAGGUUGGCCAGGAGCUGGGGGAUAGUCUGCAUGUGCCCCAGGAGAAAUGUCCUCUCCUUCAUAGCAUUCAGAUUUGACACCCCGUGAACACCAAGAUGGGACAUAUCCUUUCCCUAGUUCACCCCACUCCCACCUAAGUACACACACACACACACAUCCUGCUUCCCCCUUCCGCAUCAAGCAUUAGAAGCCUGGGUGGUCACGCAGAUCUGGGUGGCAAGUCCUCUCUGCCAUUGACAAGCUGCCUGAUUUAGGGGAAGUUGCUUUUCUGGGUAUUGAGCCUCGGUUUCCUCAACUGUAAUAUCCACCUCACUAAAUUAGGGUUGUAGGAAGCCUAAAGACACAGUGGACAUGAAUGCACUUUGUUGCCCAUGGAGUCCAAACGUUCAUUACAAGAAGGAAAGCACUCCCAUAGCUCUCACUGACCACCUACUAUAUGCCAAGGACCCCUGAAUGUAGUGAAUAUUUGUUGGAAGCUUUGCUGUAUUUUAUCUCAUUUAACCCUAACAACAACACUACAUAACUACUGUUAUUUACCCUCAUUUGAUGGAUAUGGAACUGUAGAUUAGGAAAUUAAGUCAGUUUCCCAGGGCCCAACCAUAAGUGGCAGAGUGCGAUUUGAACCCAAUCAAUCUGGACCCAAACCCGUGGUGAUGAUGAUAAUGACCACAUUUGGAGUUUAUUGAACCAGAGGUCAUCAAGUCCAACCCCUGCCUCUACCUACGCUAGGGUAGGGUUGUCUGCCCCUCCUUCUGGUGUCUCUGCCAAACCCCUCUUCUCCCAUCAGGGACUAGGUCCCCACCCCAAUCCCUAGCCCCAGGCUACUCAGGGUGUUGAGAGAGUCACCCAUCCCUCUUUCAGCCUAGAAGGUGGCGUAUUUCCCCAUGUAAUCUUCCACCCAGAAUCUUCCAUCAGACUUCCUUCCUUCCUCUCAAAUGAUAGCCCUUACUUAGCUUCCCCUUUCUGGAGACUGAAGAGUCUCUUCCUAUUUGGGUGCCUGACCACCUCCCCACCCUGGGUCCAUUGAGAGAUGGUGUGAAAAGAACAUUGCCCUGAGUUCUAAUCUGUUUCUGCCACCAGCUCGGUUAUGCCUUCAGACCCGUAAGUCACAGAGCCAUCUAGGCCUCAGUUUUCCACCUGUGUAAUCGGUAAGCUGGAGAAGAACUUGAAAGCUGCCUCCAGCCCUGGUCUUCUUAGGAGUGGCCUUUCUCAGCUACCAGGCUAGAGCCACCCCCUCUCCCCCAAUACAUACACCCCUCUCCAGCCCAAAUACUGCCCUGCAGUCCCCAAAGCUUCCUGUGUGGUCUUCCCUUCUCCUACCUCCCACCCCAGAAUUUAUCUGCCGCCUGGCAGCCUCUGCUCUCGCCCCACUCUGGGCAUGCCCUCUACUUUGGAUUGUGCUGACCCUCCCUUCCUCUGCCAGUGCCCAGAGUCCCCCACAAGGCCACCAUCUGCAGACCGCACAACUGGAGGCUGGCCCCUCCCCAAGCCUGCGGGGCCCUCUACCCUCAUUAGAUCCCCCAGCAAGGGUUAACAAGGUCCAUUUGCAUUUUAAAGGCAACCUCCUCCACCCCAGCCCCCCAAAAGAAAACUUUUCAAAACUUUUAAGGUCUCAGUUUACAUUUUAAUAUAAACUCCUCUGGGCUUGUUGCCUGGGAUUUAGAACACACCCGCCCCUAAACUCGAAAGCUCUUUGGGGGAGGGUUUUUGUUUUUACCACAGCACCUCCCUCAUUGCAGGAGGCUGGGCCUGCCCAGGGCUUUUGGAAGUGGAGGUAGUCACGGUUCGGGCUGGCCUGGCCUGACCCCUCCAGCUGAGAUCAGGCCAGGGUCACCAAACAGUCACAUGUCACUUUGAAUGAGAAGCCUUGAACUGAGGCUGAGAAAUGAAGUUGGGAGACAGCUUAGCCAAAGGCAAUUUGGACUUCUUUUUUUCUUAUGUUUUUUGGGGGAAAAAAACCUCUAUUGUCCAACUAACCUUCCACGAUACUGGAAAAUUGAAUUUAUUUCCUGAGCAGUCUGGUCCAAUUUCCCCUGGGUGGUGACGAGGCUGGGCUCCCCUCCCUGCUGCUCCAACUUAGAAGCUUCUGACUCUGCUCAGAGAUCAGGACCAGAAAGGGAGGCAAGGACCUGAGCCAUGGUUGCCAGGCAGUACCCCACCCCGAGUGCCAUGCUUCCUCAGGAAGCCCCCACUCCAAUGUGUGUGUGUUGGGGAAGCUUUCUCCAAAGCUUCAGAUUUCCUUGUCCCCACUCUCUCAGCAACCUGGGUUUGCUUGGCAGCUGUCUUGGCCUGUCCCCUACCCACUCUGGCUCUCCAUGUGUGCCCUCUGAGUCCCCCAGGCUCCCCGCCUCUGUCUCUAGACUCUCAGGAGCAAGCCAGUAGAGGUACAGCUGUAACGCAUUUGUGCUGGCCGCCAGGCUGGCAGGGCAGCCAUCUGCAGCAGGGUAGCUGCCAGACCUGCAAUGACGGGAACCCUGGGUCUCAGCCUGGCCCUUCCACUCCAACCCCAGUGCAGGAACCUCUCUGCCUACCAAGGCCAAGGAGGCCAGGGGUGAAGGGAAUGACCUUGAGGCCACUCCAGGAGACAAAGGACAUGCGCUGUCAUCCCCUCCUAGGCAAUCUGCAGCUGAGCUUCACUUCAGGGAUGGGGAGGAGGUGCUGCUCCCAGAGGAGGCUGUCAUAAGGUCAAAGACGGCCCGCCAAACCUCAGUGAGAGACUUGUACUCCGCUGACCACCACCCCACCACCACCCUCCCUGGACUAAUAGAAAAGUUUCCAGGCCACUAGCCUGGAGAGUAGAGAGAAGGGAAAAGACCCUCUCUCCCAGCCCCAGUGAAGAGGACCCCGCCAUACUUCCACUUCCCCUUAGUCUAUGCCCCCCACCCCUCCUAGGGGAGGACAUUGAGUGAGUGGACUUCUAAGACAGGCUUCCGGCCACAGAAGACCCAUCUGGUUCCAAUCAGGAGAGCAGGUUCCCAGAUCCUAGAGGGCACAUGGGGGAGGGAGGCCACAACCUCACUGCGCACCCCGCAGCACCUCUCAUCAGAGUGUAGUCCCCAUCCCAAUUGGUCUUCCUUUCACCUCCCAGAUAGGCCUCACUCACAGCCACUGGAAGAGUAGGUGAGGCAGGGAAACCUCAGGAGGCAUGGGCCUGCCUGUUCCUACCCAGCAAUCUAACCACAGACCCCAGGCCUCUGUCCAUAGUUAGACAAACACACGAUAGAGGAGAGAUGGGAAACUGAAGGAAUGAAGGAGCCUAAAGGGAGGAGAAAGGGCCACAAACAGAGAGGAUCGGAGCAAGCAAAGGCCCUAGAAACCACCAGGUCCCAGCUGGAUCUUAUUACAAAUGCGGAACCAGAGGUCCUGAGAAGGAAGUUUAAUAGAACCACUUACUGAACUUGGCCCUGAGCCCUGUCCACACAUUCUGCCCACUAGUCUUCACAGGAACACUAUAGAUAGGAAUUUCCACCUCCAUUUGAC
ensembl:lncRNA